AUGGUGCCACACCAGAGCUCACCCAUCUCAGCUAACUAGGAUGGUGGGCUAUCUCCAGGGAGUUUAUUAACAUAAUGUAGUUUUUCCUGCAUGGUGUCUGACACACACACACACACACACACACACAAGAAAGAGAAAGAUAGACACACAGAAAAAGCGAGAGAGAAAAAAAGAAAAGAGACAGAGAGAGAGACAGAUAAAAAUAGGGAGAUACAUACAUGAUAAACAGGGGAGCGAGACAAAGAAAGAGACAUAGAGGGGAGAUGGAGAGAGAGAGAUGUAGGACAAUGAAAGAGAAUGAUAUCAAUUCAAGAAAAUACUUAGAAUUAAGAAAUAUCCCUCUUAUCCUUUUAUUUAUUAGUGCCUGAGACUACAAAAGUACAUGAAAAAAUUAUUAACAAAAAAAACCACUAUUUCAUUCAUGCUAUUUAUGUUUUGAUUAGAAUGUCUUUCAUGUUUUUGAGUCUGUGUAAAAUCUCAAAUAUAAAAAAAUAAAAAAAUUCUGUCAUCAAUAUUAUUCAAUAUAAGUACAUUUCUUCAAUAUGCUUUUAAAAUAUUUUACUAGGAAAUACUUCAUAAUUGCAUAUUUGCUAUAAUAUGUAUAAAGGCAUAAUUAUUCCAUAAAUUAUACUAUGCAUGAACAAGUACAUUCAGAUGCUUAUGUAUACUAUAUUCUGUCUAUAUAUAUACAACUCAGCAUUCCUAGUUUGCUUGUGACACCUAACUAUGUAAACAUAAAAACCUGGGGUAGCUUUAUGGAUAUCAGAAAUUUUCAAGAGUCAAUAUGAAAGGAUUAUGUAGUUUUCCUGAAUGUCUUGCACAUAGCUACAUUUUACAGACAAUUCUGCAAUACUUAGCGUUUUUUUUUUUUUUUUUUUACUUUGUAUUACUUAAUGUUCAUUUCUGAGUAUAAAAAAUGUAGAAGACUUCUAUUCAUCUGGCAAAAAAAUGUAGUACAGGAAAAACAGAAUGUAAAUACAUAAAGAUUAUCAGUCUUCCUGACAUAUUACAAAACAAGGUAAGUUUCCC
rnacentral:lncRNA from 1 species